GGUUUGUAGAGUGUGUACCUAAAAAGUAAGGGAGCUGUGUGAUGUGGUUUUCAAGGCACUGUCUCACCUUUUCCUCAGAAGACUUUUCCCUCCUUAAUCCUCUCCAGGUGGUCUUCUGGUCCUUCAGCUUGAGGAGUGAGCCAUAAUGCAGGUCUCCGUGGGGGCUCCAAAGGGGGCUGGCUAACUUCUUUGCUGACCUCCACCUUUCUUUCUGCCUGUUGAAUCUGGGUCCCUCUUGGGUCUACAUACGUGGAGGGGCAAAGAGGGCGAGUACCUGGCUCCUGUCUCUGAUCAGGACACACCCGGGUCAGAAAGAUGAGGUCUGUCCGGUUCUGCAAGGGUGUUAUUUGAAGAAUGAAAGGGGACGACUUCGUCUGGUACUCAGAGAAGCCCAAUCAUUCAUAGAGCUGCAGGAGGAGACAUUAAGCUCCAUUGAGCCAAUGGAUUCAUUGAUUCCAUCUAUUCGACUACCAAAGUUAGAAUCAAAUAAAAGCAAAUGCAAAUAAAAAGCACCCUUGUCAGCAGUCACGUUUGGUCGGAAGAUCAGCUUUGCUGCAUCCGAAAGGUCACUGCCCAGAGGAGCACACUUUGGACCCUGACAAGCAACGUGCCAUGAAUUGACUUGGAGGCACAGCUGACACUUGUAAAUCCCACCCCCAGCCCGGCCGUCAGCUCAUCCCACCUCAUCAUGCCUCUCAGAUACGCUCACAGCCCAGAUUUUCAAGUACCAGACCUCACAGGAAGAGGCCAAUCAUCCGCAUGUAGAAGUCUGUGUUAAAUGAAAUACAGGAUCAAGCCAAGGAGCCUGAGUUAGGGACUGGUGUUGACAGCUCCUCAUUCCCGCCACUUACUAAUUUUAUUUCCCUCCUCAGCUGGUGUCAUUGCCUAAAAACCUUUUAAGCACAGGUUUUCAUAUUCUGUGAUUUAACUCUUUAGGACCUUCUGUAACAGGGGAACUAAUGACCUCUUCUCUAUGAACAUUUUAAAUUGAGCUUAUUCUUAUGGAAAUUUGAUCUUUAGUGGUUUUAUCAGAGUGAUUUUGUUUAAAGCUGGGUAUAAACCUAGGUAUUCUAACCCUGAGUUUACCACGGACAGUUGAAGAUUAGACUUGUAACAAAAGACACAGGCGCUGUAUGCCAGGAUCUUGAGGAACCCUGCGUGAAUUAGAAAGAAGAAGCGCCGACCCUGUUAAAUGCCUGAUGGUGCUGCACUGGGACGUGCGUCAGGAGACAGAUGCCGCCCCGUCAUCGGCUCGCUAGUAAGACCUGAUCCUGUGUGUGAUUUUGGAAAACUAUGGAAUUGAAUUGAAUUCUCCCAGAAGACUUCCAACAGUGUUUUGGAUGUUAUUUUCUGCAUCUUCCUUUGGU
ensembl:lncRNA